rnacentral:rRNA from 1 species
CGAACGCUGGCGGCGUGCUUAACACAUGCAAGUCGAACGGAAAGGCCCCUUUGGGGGUACUCGAGUGGCGAACGGGUGAGUAACACGUGAGUAACCUGCCCUUGACUUCGGGAUAACUUCAGGAAACUGGGGCCAAUACCGGAUAGGAAUCCUUGCUGCAUGGUGGGGGUUGGAAAGCUUCGGCGGUUUUGGAUGGACUCGCGGCUUAUCAGCUUGUUGGUGGGGUAGUGGCUUACCAAGGCUUUGACGGGUAGCCGGCCUGAGAGGGCGACCGGCCACAUUGGGACUGAGAUACGGCCCAGACUCCUACGGGAGGCAGCAGUGGGGAAUAUUGCACAAUGGGCGGAAGCCUGAUGCAGCAACGCCGCGUGCGGGAGGACGGCCUUCGGGUUGUAAACCGCUUUCAGCAGGGGCGAAGCUUGUGGUGACGGUACCUGCAGAAGAAGCACCGGCUAACUACGUG